UCCAUCUCUGUUUCUGAAACAAGUCAAGCCCAUUCCUGCCUGCGGGCUGUGCCCUGGAGUGUCCUGUGCCUGGCGCUCCUUCUCCUGUUCUGGCUGUUUUGGAUCUUUCCUCCUUACAGAACAGCACCCCACGCCUUAACCUAGAGGAGCCUUCCCUGUCCUCACUGUCACAGGCAGCUCCGUCACUUCCAUUCUAGUCUCCCUCCAUCAAGCCACCUUGUUUAGUACCUUUAUAGCAUUUUAUCACAACUUGAAGUGAAUCCUCCUUCAUGUCCAUUCCAACUCUGUGGUGUCUUUCUGAACAAUUAUCCUCAGUCCUUCAAAGAAUCAACUCUGCCAAACUCCUAAAUAAUGUCCUUCUGGAAACCACACUUAUUCCCAUCAUGAUGACAGAAAAAAAUGAAGGGGAAAAACAAGAUCCACAUGGAAAUAAGGCCUUCAUCAAAAAUGUGUGAUGUCCUUUGAUUGAGUUUCAUAAUGAUGUUUGAAUUAAAAAUGCUUGAGAAUCACACAUGUCA